rnacentral:rRNA from 1 species
AACGAACGCUGGCGGCGUGCCUAACACAUGCAAGUCGAACGAGAAAGGGGCUUCGGCUCCGAGUAAAGUGGCGCUCGGGUGAGUAACACGUGGGUAACCUGCCUCUAAGAUUGGGAUAACUCGUCGAAAGAUGAGCUAAUACCGAAUAAGACCACAGUUCCCGCGGGAACAGGGGUCAAAGGUAGCCUCUGCUUGCAAGCUAUCACUUAGAGAUGGGCCUGCGCACCAUUAGCUAGUUGGUAGGGUAACGGCCUACCAAGGCAAAGAUGGUUAGCUGGUCUGAGAGGAUGAUCAGCCACACUGGAACUGAGACACGGUCCAGACUCCUACGGGAGGCAGCAGUGGGGAAUAUUGCGCAAUGGGCGAAAGCUUGACGCAGCAACGCCGCGUGAGUGAUGAAGGCCUUCGGGUCGUAAAGCUCUGUCGGGAGGAACGAAUGCUCCUGAGGUUAACAGCCUCGGGAGGUGACGGUACCUUCAAAGGAAGCACCGGCUAACUCUGUG